GAUGAACGCUGGCGGCGUGCCUAAUACAUGCAAGUCGAGCGAACAGAUCAGGAGCUUGCUCCUUUGAAGUUAGCGGCGGACGUGUGAGUAACACGUGGGUCACCUACCUAUAAGACUGAGAUAACUUCGGGAAACCGGAGCUAAUACCGGAUAACAUUUAGAACCGCAUGGUUCUAAAGUUCAAGAUGGUUUUGCUAUCACUUCUAGAUGGACCCGCGCCGUAUUAGCUAGUUGGUAAGGUAACGGCUUACCAAGGCGACGAUACGUAGCCGACCUGAGAGGGUGAUCGGCGACACUGGAACUGAGACACGGUCCAGACUCCUACGGGAGGCAGCAGUAGGGAAUCGUCCGCAAUGGGCGAAAGCCUGACGGAGCAACGCCGCGUGAGUGAUGAAGGGUUUCGGCUCGUAAAACUCUGUUAUUAGGGAAGAACAAAUGUGUAAGUAACUGUGCACAUCUUGACGGUACCUAAUCAGAAAGCCACGGCUAACUACGUG
rnacentral:rRNA from 1 species